AUACGGAGGAUCCGAGCGUUAUCCGGAUUUAUUGGGUUUAAAGGGUGCGCAGGCGGGAGAUUAAGUCGGCGGUGAAAUUUUGCAGCUCAACUGUAAAAGUGCCUUCGAAACUGGUUUCCUUGAGUGUAGAUGAAGUAGGCGGAAUUUGUGGUGUAGCGGUGAAAUGCAUAGAUAUCACGAAGAACUCCGAUUGCGCAGGCAGCUUACUAAACUACUACUGACGCUCAGGCACGAAGGCGUGGGGAUCAAACAGGAUUAGAUACCCUGGUAGUCCACGCAGUAAACGAUGAUUACUAGCUGUUUGCGAUACAAUGUAAGCGGCUGAGCGAAAGCGUUAAGUAAUCCACCUGGGGAGUACGUUCGCAAGAAUGAAACUCAAAGGAAUUGACGGGG
rnacentral:rRNA from 1 species